GACGAACGCUGGCGGCGUGCUUAACACUUGCCAGUCGAACGGAAAGGCCCUGCUUUUGUGGGGUGCUCGAGUGGCGAACGGGUGAGUAACACGUGAGUAACCUGCCCUUGACUUUGGGAUAACUUCAGGAAACUGGGGCUAAUACCGGAUAGGAGCUCCUGCUGCAUGGUGGGGGUUGGAAAGUUUCGGCGGUUGGGGAUGGACUCGCGGCUUAUCAGCUUGUUGGUGGGGUAGUGGCUUACCAAGGCUUUGACGGGUAGCCGGCCUGAGAGGGUGACCGGCCACAUUGGGACUGAGAUACGGCCCAGACUCCUACGGGAGGCAGCAGUGGGGAAUAUUGCACAAUGGGCGGAAGCCUGAUGCAGCAACGCCGCGUGCGGGAUGACGGCCUUCGGGUUGUAAACCGCUUUCGCCUGUGACGAAGCGUGAGUGACGGUAAUGGGUAAAGAAGCACCGGCUAACUACGUG
rnacentral:rRNA from 1 species